UACGUAGGGUGCGAGCGUUGCCCGGAUUUAUUGGGCGUAAAGGGCGCGUAGGCUGGCCACGCACGUCCGUUGUGAAAUCGCCCGGCUCAACUGGGCGGGGUCGGCGGAUACGGCGUGGCUGGAGCAAGCUAGGGGGCAAUGGAAUUCCCGGUGUAGUGGUGGAAUGCGUAGAUAUCGGGAGGAACACCAGUGGCGGAAGGCGGUUGCCUGGAGCUUUGCUGACGCUGAGGCGGCGAAAGCGUGGGGAGCCGAGUCCGG
rnacentral:rRNA from 1 species